GGCCUUGCUCCACACGGCCGCGGAGCACUCUGGGAACCGAGCGGCAGGGAAGACGACGGGGGGAGAGGGUCGCCCCCUCCCGCCGGUGGCUUGAUGGACGGACGUGUCAUCUUAGCUCAUGGCCUACACGCCCAGCAUUUUCUUCAUGGCUUCAUACACCACACAGCUGAUGCCACCCGCUGGCAACACCUUCAGUAACCUGGGAAUAAUGCCUCGAUAAAGCCCCUGCCAGCCCUGUUCAGCCAGGAUCUGCCAAAAGACUCCACUCAUGGUGGACUUGGAGCCCUCCACGAUGUCUCUGGAGGCAGAGACAAGCUGAGAACUCGUCUGUUUGGGAAAGCCUAGGAGGUCAUUUGGGGGGUGUCUUGGAGGUUAGUGUGAAUGUCUGGGUCGACUGUUGUGGGAAUUUUGGAGUUAUGUGGGAGAUAGAUGCUUAGCUUUAGUGAUUCUUUUGCUUGUUUUUGUUUUUUGAGAUAGGGUCUGCUUUAUAGUUCUAACUGGCCUUGAUCUCACAGUGUAGCACACAGGGUGGCUUUGAAUUUGUGAUCUUCCUGCCUCAGCUUCCCGAGUGCUGGGAUUAUAGGCGUGCACCACCACGCCAAGUUUAAUGACUUUUGUUGUGUGUGUGAUUUUUUAUAAAGGAUUAAUUUGAGGCCGGGAAUUUAGCUUAGUGGUUCAGCGAACACAAGCGCAAGGUCCUGAGUUCCAUGCCUGGUACCAAAAAAAUAAAUAAAUAAUUAAAUUUCUAAUUUGAGACUUAGGAUCAGAUUGAAGGGUGAAUAUAAUAAAUCUUGGUGGAGCUUAGCAUGGUGCUGCAUACCUAUAAUCCCAAUACUCCCUGAAGCUAAGGCAGGCGGAAUCACAAGUUCAAGUCCAGUCUGGGCAAUUUAGCAAGACCCUGUGCCCCCCCC